ACCAAACUACCUUUAUACCUGGCUCCCUUACUACCUACUUACAUACCUGGCUACCUAGCUACCUUCAUACCUGGCUACCUAGCUACCUUCAUACCUGGCCUACAUACCUGGCUACCUAACUACCUGCCCUUUUCUGUGCAGGACACAAAGAGGGGCAUUAUUACAAUUCAAGGCAUAUAGAUGGGCAGAUUGUGUAGAGGAGCUUACAAGUACAGCUCUCCUUCUCACACCUGUGCUAGAGGGCCGGCACCAUCUCCGGCUUCAAAUACUGGCAAAACAAAACUUGUCCAGCAUCCAAGGUGUGGAAAACACUUUUUGCUUUAUUGAUGGAUCAUUUCAAAAAGAGGUGACAACAGAUGUAAAAAGAUGAGUUUUGGCUGAAAGAAGUCGACAUGGCGGUCUCAUCGGGACUGGGAAGAAAAGGAAAGAGGACGCCGCCAAUCAGAAAAAAACGUCUAGAAUGAUGGAGCUCCCGGUCAUCCCCAGGUCACAAUGUAACCCUCACCCCAGGACGAUGGACACUCUUGGACUUACCAGUUGACCCGAUCGACCACGUGAUGUUGAGGUUGAAGUUAUUCGAAG